rnacentral:rRNA from 1 species
UACGUAGGGUGCAAGCGUUAAUCGGAAUUACUGGGCGUAAAGCGUGCGCAGGCGGUUCGGAAAGAAAGAUGUGAAAUCCCAGAGCUUAACUUUGGAACUGCAUUUUUAACUCCCGAGCUAGAGUAUGUCAGAGGGGGGUAGAAUUCCACGUGUAGCAGUGAAAUGCGUAGAGAUGUGGAGGAAUACCGAUGGCGAAGGCAGCCCCCUGGGAUAAUACUGACGCUCAUGCACGAAAGCGUGGGGAGCAAAC